UACGUAGGCAGCGAGCGUUGUUCGGAAUUACUGGGCGUAAAGAGGGUGUAGGCGGUGCUCCCAGUCUGUUGUGAAAUCUCCCGGCUUAACUGGGAGGGUGCAGCGGAAACUAGAGUGCUAGAGGGUGGGAGAGGUAAGCGGAAUUCCUGGUGUAGCGGUGAAAUGCGUAGAUAUCAGGAGGAACACCUGUGGUGUAGACAGCUUACUGGACCACUUCUGACGCUGAGACACGAAAGCGUGGGUAGCAAACAGG
rnacentral:rRNA from 1 species